GCAAUUUACUCACAGAACUGAGCUUUGGGACAUUUGAAGCAUGGCAUGGAAUGCAGUUUUUAAACCAAGUAAUUCUCAAUCAUAAUCCUCUGAGGACUGUCAAAGAUUCAUCUCUUUUUAAAUUACCAGCAUUAAAAUAUCUAGACUUGGGACAAACACAUGUGCCACUUACAGCACUUGAGAACAUAGUCACAAUGGCUUUGGAAUUGGAAACAUUG